AGGGGGUUAUGAGGACUUGAGAGAUGCGGUCCUGCACAGUCUCUGGAGGGAAUGUGCCUAAUUCAGGGGCAGGUCACGUGGGUGAGUGAAGCAGGCUGCUGUGGCGCAGUAUGUUGAAGAAUGAAUGUUCAUUUAUUUGAAGCCGCCUUGACCCUGAUCCAGCCGCCUGGGUUGCUGCUGCCGGGGAAGGCAGGCCUGGUGUGGACGGACCCCCUGACUUUUCAAGACACACUGGAGGUCACUGAGCCAUGUUUUGAGUCAGUUCUGCAUCUCAUCAAGACACAGGUAAUCAGAAGAGGGGUUUGGAAACUCAAGAGCACAUAAGUGAACAAAACAUCAAGCUUGCUCUUAAAAGUUUUUCAAUCUUACGCAUGUUGAAAUGGCCUCACUCCAGUCUUGCUCGAAGUCUGCUGGGUAAACUGCAAGUUCUAACAGACUAAGAGGAAGUGCUUCAGUCACCUAAGAUGAGGGAACUUGAGACACAGAGAGGAUAAAUAACUCAUCUCGGGAGUCACAGCUAGCAGAAG